UCGCCUGUUUAUCAAAAACAUCGCCUCUUGCAACACUAGUAUAAGAGGUCCUGCCUGCCCAGUGAACAAUUUAACGGCCGCGGUAUAAUGACCGUGCAAAGGUAGCGUAAUCACUUGUCUUUUAAAUAAAGACCCGUAUGAAUGGCAAGACGAAAGUUCAACUGUCUCUUUGAUCUAAUCAAUGAAAUUUAUCUUCCCGUGCAGAAGCGGAAAUAUGCCUAUAAGACGAGAAGACCCUAUGGAGCUUUAAAUAUAUAUUAACUAUACCAUAUAAUUUUUCCCAAGGACAGAACAUUAAACUGUAUAGUAAUAAUUAAAAUUUUGGGUUGGGGCGACCACGGAAGACAAGAGAUCAUCCGAGAUGAAUAAUUUAGAAAGACACUUCAAAAUCUAAAACAUUUACCAUAAAUGAUCCACUAAGUGACCAACGAACCAAGUUACCCUAGGGAUAACAGCGCAAUCCUUUCCAAGAGUCCAUAUCGACGAAUGGGUUUACGACCUCGAUGUUGGAUCAGGACACCCAAAUGGUGCAGCCGCUAUUAAAGGUUCGUUUGUUCAACGAUUAAAGUCCUACGUGAUCUGAGUUCAGACCGG
rnacentral:rRNA from 1 species